rnacentral:rRNA from 1 species
GACGAACGCUGGCGGCGUGCUUAACACAUGCAAGUCGAGCGGUAAGGCCUUUCGGGGUACACGAGCGGCGAACGGGUGAGUAACACGUGGGUGAUCUGCCCUGCACUCUGGGAUAAGCCUGGGAAACUGGGUCUAAUACUGGAUAUGACCUCAGCAUGCAUGUGCUGGGGUGGAAAGCUUUUGUGGUGCAGGAUGGGCCCGCGGCCUAUCAGCUUGUUGGUGGGGUAAUGGCCUACCAAGGCGACGACGGGUAGCCGACCUGAGAGGGUGACCGGCCACACUGGGACUGAGACACGGCCCAGACUCCUACGGGAGGCAGCAGUGGGGAAUAUUGCACAAUGGGCGGAAGCCUGAUGCAGCGACGCCGCGUGAGGGAUGAAGGCCUUCGGGUUGUAAACCUCUUUCAGCAGGGACGAAGCGUGAGUGACGGUACCUGCAGAAGAAGCACCGGCUAACUACGUGCCAGCCGCCGCAGUAACAC